rnacentral:rRNA from 1 species
GAUGAACGCUGGCGGCGUGCUUAACACAUGCAAGUCGAACGCACCUUCGGGUGAGUGGCGGACGGGUGAGUAACGCGUGGGAAUCUGCCCUCAGGAGGGGGAUAACGGCUGGAAACGGCCGCUAAUACCCCAUAUGCCGAGAGGUGAAAUGAAUUUCGCCUGAGGAUGAGCCCGCGUCUGAUUAGCUAGUUGGUGUGGUAAUGGCGCACCAAGGCUUCGAUCAGUAGCUGGUCUGAGAGGAUGAUCAGCCACACUGGGACUGAGACACGGCCCAGACUCCUACGGGAGGCAGCAGUGGGGAAUUUUCCGCAAUGGGCGAAAGCCUGACGGAGCAACGCCGCGUGAGGGAUGAAGGCCUCUGGGCUGUAAACCUCUUUUCUCAAGGAAGAAGAUCUGACGGUACUUGAGGAAUAAGCCACGGCUAAUUCCGUGCCAGCAGCCGCGGUAAUACGGGAGUGGCAAGCGUUAUCCGGAAUUAUUGGGCGUAAAGCGUCCGCAGGCGGCCUUGUAAGUCUGUCGUUAAAGCGUGGAGCUUAACUCCAUUUCAGCGAUGGAAACUACAAGGCUUGAGUGUGGUAGGGGCAGAGGGAAUUCCCGGUGUAGCGGUGAAAUGCGUAGAUAUCGGGAAGAACACCAGUGGCGAAGGCGCUCUGCUGGGCCAUAACUGACGCUCAUGGACGAAAGCCAGGGGAGCGAAAGGGAUUAGAUACCCCUGUAGUCCUGGCCGUAAACGAUGAACACUAGGUGUCGGGGGAAUCGACCCCCUCGGUGUCGUAGCCAACGCGUUAAGUGUUCCGCCUGGGGAGUACGCACGCAAGUGUGAAACUCAAAGGAAUUGACGGGGGCCCGCACAAGCGGUGGAGUAUGUGGUUUAAUUCGAUGCAACGCGAAGAACCUUACCAGGGUUUGACAUCCUGCGAAUCCCUUGGAAACGAGGGAGUGCCUUCGGGAGCGCAGUGACAGGUGGUGCAUGGCUGUCGUCAGCUCGUGUCGUGAGAUGUUGGGUUAAGUCCCGCAACGAGCGCAACCCACGUCGUUAGUUGCCAGCAUUCAGUUGGGCACUCUAGCGAGACCGCCGGUGAUAAACCGGAGGAAGGUGUGGAUGACGUCAAGUCAUCAUGCCCCUUACAUCCUGGGCUACACACGUACUACAAUGCUACGGACAAAGGGCAGCAAGCUCGCGAGAGUUAGCAAAUCCCAUAAACCGUGGCUCAGUUCAGAUCGUAGGCUGCAACUCGCCUACGUGAAGGAGGAAUCGCUAGUAAUCGCAGGUCAGCAUACUGCGGUGAAUACGUUCCCGGGCCUUGUACACACCGCCCGUCACACCAUGGAAGUUGGCCACGCCCGAAGUCGUUACUCCAACCCGUAAGGGAGGAGGAUGCCGAAGGUGGGGCUGAUGACUGGGGUGAAGUCGUAACAAGG